GUCGCCGGUGCCGAGCGGGUCGGCACCGACCGGGUCGGGGACGAAGGCGGCCGCGGUGAGGUCGGGCCGGUUCCAGUAGCCGGCGGCGACGCC
rnacentral:tRNA from 1 species